UACGUAGGGGCCCAGCGUUGUCCGGAAUCAUUGGGCGUAAAGAGCGUGUAGGCGGCUCGGUAAGUCCGCUGUGAAAGUCCAGGGCUCAACCCUGGAAUGCCAGUGGAAACUGUCGAGCUAGAGUCCGGAAGAGGCGAGUGGAAUUCCUGGUGUAGCGGUGAAAUGCGCAGAUAUCAGGAGGAACACCAAUGGCGAAGGCAGCUCAGCUGGGACGGUACUGACGCUGAGACGCGAAAGCAUGGGGAGCGAACAGG
rnacentral:rRNA from 1 species